GGGAAGCCCUUUCUGCAGAUCCUGAUGCCUUCGAGCACCCCAUUACAACGCAGCUGGUGCAUCACCAGAGGAUUCUCCAUGGCCCCAGGAGUCUUGGUCUCAUUGGGGAUGAUGCAGCGUACAAAGUGAGGAUAUGUAAAACCAUUGAAGGACACAGACAUAUGAGAUCAAGGUCAGCAUUCAGUGGUAGACAAAUGUCAAACUGAUAUCCACUCUUCACUUGGCUCCUUCCUGCCUUCCUCCUGUGUAUCAGUCCUUCUUUUGUGCUGCUGCAGCUGCAUGAGCCUACUUUGGAGACAAAGGGGACUACAGCACAGGAGAUCCCAAAGCUCUUAGGUGGCCGUCUGUGAGUUUCACUCCUCAUCUAGCCCUUUCUGUGAUGAAGAAUGAUAGAGAGCAGAAAAAGAAACAGAUUAGAGACAGAAGACCAACAAGACUCAACAGGUGUUACAAGAGAAACUGGAUUUUACAAGAUGUUACACGAUGUUACAAGUGAAUGUUUUUUUUAAUGUCAGUAUGUCUUCACUGUAGUAAAUUUGGUUGUGUCUAAUUGUUUUUGAAAGAAUUUGAAAAGUGAUGUAUCACUGAAUGCAUUUGGAGGAAAGUUAAGAUCAUAUAUAUUUUAUAUAUCAAAUAUUAAAAAUCAUAUUAAAACUGAAGAGCCAAGCCCAUCUUUAGUGAAUCUCAAACCAUUGUUUUUGUUUAUGUUUUUGCUUUUGUUUUGUGUUUUCUUUAUUUGACACAAGUAAUUCCAAGCCUGGAUUCUGUUGAAAUCAUUUAAUCUUUUUUAAGACAUUUCUCAGUAGGAGCUGUUCAAAAAGGGAACAUAUCUUAACAAAAACUCGAUCAAUUAAAGCAUUUUUGGUGUCUUUAUUAGAACUAGUUUACAUUGAUUUGACUGGUUGUCAGGGUUUAAUGCUGUUAUGUCAUUCACAAAAUGCCUCAGAUGAAGAUAUAGUUUAAGGAAAAAUUCAUGUAGGGGUGCAUCGGUGUCCUAGAGGUGAAGCACUAACCACGAGCCAUCCCUGCUUUGAGUCUUAAUGGUGACCUUUUAGUGCAUGGCAUUCAUUUCCCUCAUUUUCUGUCAUAUCUAUCUGUGUAGGUUCUCAGUCAUCCAGAUCAUGGUAGUCUUAAGUGCUAAAGUUGAAGCCAACUGUUUCUUCAAGAAACCUAAAAGAAACUUCAUCAUAGAACCUUCCCUGUGACAAAGAUCAUAUUACCACUAACCUAAAUUAUACUUUUACAAUUUAUCAAAUCCAGGAAAACACCCAAAAUAAAAGUCAUAAAUCUGUACAA